UGGGCCCCGCCUUGGGAGUGGUGCUUUUUUGUGAAGCGGCCAUGGCGUGGAUUGGAUGAUCACGCGGCCGCUGGCCCCCGAGGUCUCGAUCCCGACGACGCCCACCGGACCACCGGCAUCUCGCCGCUGCUCGCCCGCCGCCGCAUCCUCGCCUCUCAUGCCGAUCCACGGCGGUCCACGCAGGCUCGUGAGCACCGGGUGAAGGUCUCGACGCCGGCGAGCUAUAUGUCGAUCCGGAAGAAGCUCGCGCGCGACGUCGUCGAAGUACGUGGACACCGAAGGCGGUGCUGUCGAUCGAGGAAGCCGAGGGGGGGGGGGGGGGGGGGGGGGGGCGGCUGAUCGAGGGAGCAUCGCCGGAGGAUUACGACACCGACGCCAACGGCAUUAUUGUUGACUGUGGCCGCGCGAAAGUCCCAGCUCCCAACUGGAGCGCAUGCACAAGCACAAGCUGGGCCGGCAUCAUCUUCCAUGGCCGCGCAACGCUGCACCAGGAGUGCAGGACGCUUCAGGACACUGGAACUGGACAUGGAGGACAGCUGCUUCCACUUCCACGGUAGCCAACGGGUACUUUCCUGCUGCACUGCAAGAUUGUAUAUUCUUUCUACUUUCAGCUACAACUUUUCUGCCAAACAAACAAUUAUAUCUAAUAUUAUAUUAUUAACUUUAUGUAUUAUAAUGAAUCACCUCUUGAUUCUUAUGCUUUAAUGGUCUUGUUUUGUUUCAGGUUUUUUAGACGAAGGAAGCUUUAGUAUUAACAAAAACAAUAAAGUUUGAGGAUCCAUUGGAAGGCUUGAGAGGAAAAUAGGUAAUAAAAGGCCAAACUAGAUGAAGCAUGCAUGCAGUCACUUUAUUUUGCAUCUUGGUUCGGUGACAUGGGUUACACGCGAUGUGAUAGGAAAACUAAACCGGCUUAUACAGAAUACAGAAGAGAAAUAGAUAGUAGAAGAACACAAUUUAUCUGAAGACAAGCUAUUGAGUAUCAUG
rnacentral:lncRNA from 1 species